rnacentral:rRNA from 1 species
UACGAAGGGGGCUAGCGUUGCUCGGAAUCACUGGGCGUAAAGCGCACGUAGGCGGCUUUUUAAGUCAGAGGUGAAAUCCUGGAGCUCAACUCCAGAACUGCCUUUGAUACUGAGAGGCUUGAGUCCGGGAGAGGUGAGUGGAACUGCGAGUGUAGUGGUGAAAUUCGUAGAUAUUCGCAAGAACACCAGUGGCGAAGGCGGCUCACUGGCCCGGUACUGACGCUGAGGUGCGAAAGCGUGGGGAGCAAACAGG